rnacentral:rRNA from 1 species
CCUACGGGAGGCAGCAGUGGGGAAUAUUGGACAAUGGGCGAAAGCCUGAUCCAGCCAUGCCGCGGGUGUGAAGAAGGCCUUCGGGUUGUAAAGCACUUUCAGUGGGGAAGAAAGCCUUGGGGCUAAUACCCUCGAGGAAGGACAUCACCCACAGAAGAAGCACCGGCUAACUCCGUGCCAGCAGCCGCGGUAAUACGGAGGGUGCGAGCGUUAAUCGGAAUUACUGGGCGUAAAGCGCGCGUAGGCGGUCUGAUAAGCCGGUUGUGAAAGCCCCGGGCUCAACCUGGGAACGGCAUCCGGAACUGUCAGGCUAGAGUGCAGGAGAGGAAGGUAGAAUUCCCGGUGUAGCGGUGAAAUGCGUAGAGAUCGGGAGGAAUACCAGUGGCGAGGGCGGCCUUCUGGACUGACACUGACGCUGAGGUGCGAAAGCGUGGGUAGCAAACAGGAUUAGAUACCCCUGUAGUC